UCCCAGGAGGCUCAGUGGUAAAGAAUCUGCCUGCCAAUGCAGGAGACACAGGCUCGAACCCUGGCCUGGGAA
rnacentral:tRNA from 1 species